ensembl:lncRNA novel transcript
CACGUGGAGGAUUGUUAAUUCUGCGAUGUCUGACUCAGGGGUGUUUGAUUACAUGGAGGCCACCACCAACAGGGUGACACAUGAUGUAGUGUGAGACCGGGGAGCGGGGCUGCAGCCAGGCCCCUGUCCUGAUGAGGUGCGUCUGCAGGGAUGGGACUCAGCGGCGGGGAAAUGAGACGCUCUGUUUUCCAGGCAGCCUGGGCUGGUGGCAGGAAGAGCUCUGGCGAGAGAUGAAUAGGACUUGGCCCAGCCAUGCGCUCGGUGACGGGCGUGAGAGUUCAUUUGCUGCUUGAAGAUUUAGUUCCCAAUUAAUAAGUGGAGAGCCAGCCUGGUGCCUCAGGAGGUGUUCCGGGCUGAACUGUGUCCGCCACCCCCGCCCCAGCCCCCACCUUCUCCAAAAAGUCUAUGUUAGGGUCCUAACCUCGGCACCUCCAAAUGUGACUGUGUUUGGGGAUGGGGCCUUCAAAGAGGUGAUUAAAGUAAAAUGAGCUCAUACGGUCGGGUCAUAAUCCAAUCUGACUGGUGUCCUUCUAAGAGGAGAUUAAGACACAGACACGCGCAGAGGGAAGACCACGUGAAGAUGGGGGAAGACAGCUGUCUGCAAGUCAAAGAGAGAGGCCUCAGAGGAAACCAGCCCUGCUGACACCUUGGUCUUGGACUUCUAGCUCCUGUAUUAAGCAGCGCUGUCUGCGGGAAGGUGCCUUUCCUGCCCAGACUACUGAAGGAGACUGCCAGUACAAGAGGCUUUCACUCCCCUUGAGGGUUUGCAGGCAGGAGAAAAGAGUGACAAAGUUUUUUCUUCCUCCUCUGUUCUAUGCUCCCCGCUGAUACCUCUGGUAGAGCAUUCACCUACUGGGCUGUAGCCUGUUGGGUGCAUUUUCCCCCUAAUACCACAGGCUCUCAAUUUCCAGCACAAAGCUCAGGACACCAGGAAACAUCUGGUGAUGGAAGGCUGAGGUCAUAAAGGACAGCAAUAUCCCAGCCCACAGCAGGGUCCCCACACCUGCUGUACUGCAUUCACUCGGUAGUGACUCCAUUUCAAAAGGGGCCUCUCAUGGGGUGGCCAUGAGGAGCUGGAGCUUGUGAGCCCCUUAAAAUGAAGGCAAAGUCAUAUACUUCACGUCUGCCCAUUGCAAGAGUUCAUCAAGAAAGACAGCACUGGUGUGUAUUAAAAAACCACAAUGUAUUAA